rnacentral:lncRNA from 1 species
AUAACAACAUACUGCAGGAGGAGAGAGAGGCAGUGUGUUGAUAUGCUGUUUGUAUAAUAACAAUAUACUGCAGGAGGAGAGAGAGGCAGUGUGUUGAUAUGCUGUUUGUAUAAUAACAACAUACUGCAGGAGGAGAGAGAGGCAGUGUGUUGAUAUGCUGUUUGUAUAAUAACAACAUACUGCAGGAGGGGAGAGAGAGGCAGUGUGUUGAUAUGCUGUUUGUAUAAUAACAACAUACUGCAGGAGGAGAGAGAGGCAGUGUGUUGAUAUGCUGUUUGUAUAAUAACAACAUACUGCAGGAGAGAGAGAGGCAGUGUGUUGAUAUGCUGUUUGUAUAAUAACAACAUACUGCAGGAGGAGAGAGGCAGUGUGUUGAUAUGCUGUUUGUAUAAUAACAACAUACUGCAGGAGGAGAGAGAGAGGCAGUGUGUUGAUAUGCUGUUUGUAUAAUAACAAUAUACUGCAGGAGGAGAGAGAGAGGCAGUGUGUUGAUAUGCUGUUUGUAUAAUAACAACAUACUGCAGGAGGAGAGAGAGGCAGUGUGUUGAUAUGCUGUUUGUAUAAUAACAACAUACUGCAGGAGGGAGGCAGUGUGUUGAUAUGCUGUUUGUAUAAUAACAACAUACUGCAGGAGAGAGAGAGAGGCAGUGUGUUGAUAUGCUGUUUGUAUAAUAACAUACUGCAGGAGGAGAGAGAGGCAGUGUGUUGAUAUGCUGUUUGUAUAAUAACAACAUACUGCAGGAGGAGAGAGAGGCAGUGUGUUGAUAUGCUGUUUGUAUAAUAACAACAUACUGCAGGAGGAGAGAGAGGCAGUGUGUUGAUAUGCUGUUUGUAUAAUAACAACAUACUGCAGGAGGAGAGAGAGAGGCAGUGUGUUGAUAUGCUGUUUGUAUAAUAACAACAUACUGCAGGAGGAGAGAGAGGCAGUGUGUUGAUAUGCUGUUUGUAUAAUAACAACAUACUGCAGGAGGAGAGA